rnacentral:rRNA from 1 species
AUUGAACGCUGGCGGCAGGCCUAACACAUGCAAGUCGAGCGGAGCGGCGGACGGGUGAGUAAUGCCAAGGAAUCUGAAUGGUAGUGGGGGAUAACGUCCGGAAACGGGCGCUAAUACCGCAUACUAUCAGAAGAGCCUGGGUCGGAGUAGCUAGUUGGUGGGGUAAAGGCAUACCAAGGCGACGAUCCGUAACUGGUCUGAGAGGAUGAUCAGUCACACUGGAACUGAGACACGGUCCAGACUCCUACGGUAGGCAGCAGUGGGGAAUAUUGGGCAAUGGGCGAAAGCCUGAUCCAGCCAUGCCGCGUGUGUGAAGAAGGUCUUCGGAUUGUAAAGCACUUUAAGUUGGGAGGCGUUACCAACAGAAUAAGCACCGGCUAACUUCGUGCCAGCAGCCGCGGUAAUAC